rnacentral:rRNA from 1 species
UACGGGGGGGGCAAGCGUUGUUCGGAAUUACUGGGCGUAAAGGGCUCGUAGGCGGCCAACUAAGUCGGACGUGAAAUCCCCAGGCUCAACCUGGGAACUGCGUCCGAUACUGGAUGGCUUGAAUUCGGGAGAGGGAUGCAGAAUUCCAGGUGUAGCGGUGAAAUGCGUAGAUAUCUGGAGGAAUACCGGUGGCGAAGGCGGCAUCCUGGACCGACAUUGACGCUGAGGAGCGAAAGCUGGGGGAGCAAACGGG